CACAGACAUGCCCAGAGGUGUGUCUCUUAGGUGAUCCUAGACCCUGUGGAGUUGGCCGUUAAAAUCCACCAUCACUGUGAGUAAAAGACAAAACACACACAGAUACAUAUCAUCAAACUACUACAACUUAAAGCUCUCGAAAGCCACUGGAGUAAAUGGUGUAUUCUGGAGCGUUCUUCCGUUUAGAGAGUUACUGUCUGAACGCACUUUUCAGGAGAAGACAGGGAAGCCACCAGAGCCCAGAAUAGAUCUGAAAGGGCUAACAGAAAGGUGGACUCAGAAUUUUAUACUUGGCAAGAAAACACCCUUCUAGAACCUUUGGAAAAUCGAUUCUCAGAUGAAGAAAGAUUGAAAGAACACAUCUCAGGGCUGGAGGGAUGGCUCAGUGGUUAAGAACAUUGGCUGUUCUUCCAAAGGACCAGGAUUCAAAUCCCAGCACCCACAUGACCGUUCAUAACUGUCUGUAAUUCCAGUUCAGGGGAUCUGACACCCAUACAAAUCCAUACUUGAAGGCAGAAUACUAAUGUAAAUAAAAAUUUAAAAACAUCAA
rnacentral:lncRNA from 1 species